rnacentral:rRNA from 1 species
CACGGAAGGUGCAAGCGUUAUUCGGAAUCACUGGGCGUAAAGAGCGCGUAGGCGGUCUCUUAAGUCAGAUGUGAAAGCCCGGGGCUCAACCCCGGAAGUGCAUUUGAAACUAAGUGACUUGAGUAUGGGAGAGGGAAGUGGAAUUCCUGGUGUAGCGGUGAAAUGCGUAGAUAUCAGGAGGAACACCGGUGGCGAUCGAGACUUCCUGGACCAAUAAUGACGCUGAGGCGCGAAGGCGUGGGGAGCAAACAGG